UACGGGGGGGGCAAGCGUUGUUCGGAAUUACUGGGCGUAAAGGGCUCGUAGGUGGCCAACUAAGUCAGACGUGAAAUCCCUCGGCUUAACCGGGGAACUGCGUCUGAUACUGGAUGGCUUGAGUUCGGGAGAGGGAUGCGGAAUUCCAGGUGUAGCGGUGAAAUGCGUAGAUAUCGGGAGGAACACCAAUGGCGAAGGCAGCUCGCUGGGACGUUACUGACGCUGAGACGCGAAAGCGUGGGGAGCAAACAGG
rnacentral:rRNA from 1 species